rnacentral:rRNA from 1 species
ACCAUUAGCUUGUUGGUGGGGUAAAGGCCUACCAAGGCGUCGAUGGUUAGCUGGUCUGAGAGGAUGAUCAGCCACACUGGAACUGACACACGGUCCAGACUCCUACGGGAGGCAGCAGUGAGGAAUUUUGCGCAAUGGGGGAAACCCUGACGCAGCAACGCCGCGUGAGUGAUGAAGGCUUUCGGGUCGUAAAGCUCUGUCAAGUGGGAAGAACCUGCAGUAUGCUAAUAUCAUAUUGCACUGACGGUACCACUGAAGGAAGCACCGGCUAACUCCGUGCCAGCAGCCGCGGUAAUACGGGGGGUGCAAGCGUUAUUCAAUCAUUGGGCGUAAAGAGCACGUAGGCGGCCUGGUAAGUCAGAUGUGAAAGCCCUGGGCUUAACCCGGGAAGUGCAUUUGAUACUGUCAGGCUUGAGUAUGGGAGAGGGAAGUGGAAUUCCUGGUGUAGAGGUGAAAUUCGUAGAUAUCAGGAGGAACACCGGUGGCGAAGGCGACUUCCUGGACCAAUACUGACGCUGAGGUGCGAAGGCGUGGGUAGCAAACAGGAUUAGAUACCCUGGUAGUCCACGCAGUAAACGUUGUUCACUAGGUGUAGCGGGUAUUGACCCCUGCUGUGCCGCAGUUAACGCAUUAAGUGAACCGCCUGGGGAGUACGGCCGCAAGGUUAAAACUCAAAGGAAUUGACGGGUGCCCGCACAAGCGGUGGAGCAUGUGGUUUAAUUCGACGCAACGCGAAGAACCUUACCUGGAUUUGACAUCCCGGGAAUCCUAUCGAAAGACUGGAGUGCCCUUCGGGGAGCCCGGAGACAGGUGCUGCAUGGCUGUCGUCAGCUCGUGUCGUGAGAUGUUGGGUUAAGUCCCGCAACGAGCGCAACCCUUGUCUUUAGUUACCAUCAUUCAGUUGGGGACUCUAAAGAUACUGCCCCGGUCAACGGGGAGGAAGGUGGGGAUGACGUCAAGUCCUCAUGGCCUUUAUGUCCAGGGCUACACACGUGCUACAAUGGGCUGUACAAAGGGUUGCGAACCCGCGAGGGUAAGCCAAUCCCAAAAAGCAGUCCCAAGUUCGGAUUGGAGUCUGCAACUCGACUCCAUGAAGCUGGAAUCGCUAGUAAUCGCGGAUCAGCAUGCCGCGGUGAAUACGUUCCCGGUCCUUGUACACACCGCCCGUCACACCAUGAGAGUUGGUUGUACCAGAAGUCGUCGGGCUAACCUUUUUAAGGAUGCAGGCGCCUAAGGUAUGGCUGAUAAUUAGGGUGAAGUCGUAACAAGGUA